rnacentral:rRNA from 1 species
UACGUAGGGUGCAAGCGUUAAUCGGAAUUACUGGGCGUAAAGCGUGCGCAGGCGGUUGUGCAAGACAGAUGUGAAAUCCCCGGGCUCAACCCUGGGAACUGCAUUUGUGACUGCACGGCUGGAGUGCGGCAGAGGGGGGUGGAAUUCCGCGUGUAGCAGUGAAAUGCGUAGAGAUGCGGAGGAACACCGAUGGCGAAGGCAGCCCCCCUGGGCUAGCACUGACGCUCAGGCACGAAAGCGUGGGGAGCAAACAGG